rnacentral:rRNA from 1 species
UACGAAGGGGGCUAGCGUUGUUCGGAAUUACUGGGCGUAAAGCGCACGUAGGCGGAUUGGUAAGUAGGGGGUGAAAUCCCCGGGCUCAACCCGGGAACUGCCUUCUAGACUGCCAGUCUUGAGGUCAGGAGAGGCGAGUGGAAUUCCGAGUGUAGAGGUGAAAUUCGUAGAUAUUCGGAGGAACACCAGUGGCGAAGGCGACUCGCUGGACUGAUACUGACGCUGAGGUGCGAAAGCGUGGGGAGCAAACAGG